GUAUUUUGUUUCAUUUCUUUAAAGUGUUUUAUACACCGUCUGUACUAGCCACUAUUUAGCUUACAAAUAGACCGACUACGAAUAACCCACGUUUAGCCCAGAAAUAACCAUUAAUUUAAUUACAUGUGGUUUUUGCCAAAAUAACUUGUGAGUUGUAUGGUAUUUCAUUGUAAGCAAAGUUAACAGCGAUUACAAGGUUUGUUUAAUUUCUUUAAAGUGUUUUAUGCACCGUCGUACAUAGCCACUAUUUAGCUCAUAAAUAGACCGACUACGAACAAACCAUGUUUAGCCCAAAAUAACCUUGAAUUUAAUAAAAUUUUGUUUAUGCCAAAAUAACUUGCAAGAAUUAUGAUAUUUUAUCAGGCAUUGCAAAGACACCAGUGAAAUUAAGAUGUUUGGUUUUAUUUAUCUUAUCUGAAUAUCUGUUGUCACGCAUAACAUUCAUUAUUUGACCGUAUUUCAAAGAUAAACAAAAUCCAGUUACAACUCCGAACCGCUAGAUGGCAGAGUACACAAACACGGGGCCAUAUCUCACGAGAAAGAUUUCCGCUGUUUGAAAAUCAACAACAUCAGUGAGCAGCCACGAGGAAAGCAUGUACCACACUCGUUUGGUCUUGUGUCAAAGCUGUGCGAAACUGGAGGGAGAAACUUGAGAGACCGUGCCGGAAGAAUGCUGGACAGAGUUCACUAAAAUUCAUUCAUUUCAAAGUUCAACAUGAAUGGUGGUGGUCCACUGCAGAAGCAAGCAUUUGAAAAAACAUCAGUUCUCAGUUAUUAAAGAUGCUGUGUUGAACAACUUCCCAGCAGCAACAGAACUGGAAGUGAAGGAUGCAAUGGGGGCAUUUCAAACAGGCACCAGGGAGCAUGGGGGGGGGGUUAUAGAAAUUAGUACAAUUAAUAAGUUGACGUGAACUGAAGAUAGUUUGUUAAUGUUUAGAUGUUAUUUCAUUUUUAAAAUUGUAUUUUGUUAUAUAUGCUUUUAUUUUGUUACUGUUUUUAUUCUUUUUGUUAAAACUAGUUUUUCUUCAUUUUGUCUUAUCUGAAUUUCUAUUGUAUUAACAAUAUUUUUUGUAAUAAAUUGCAUGAUUGCAUGUUUAUGAGAACCUUUUUUAAUGGAUUAAAAAGAAUUCUUUAGCCAUUCUUUUGUUCUUUAUUAGACACACAUGUGUAGUCGUUUAAUAGCCGUCUAUUUAACGGCUAGUCUAUUCUUGGGCUAUGAUAGACGUCUACUAGAUUUUCACUGACAGCCCAAAAUUAGCCUUGUUUUAGCCUAGACCCACAUUCACCGUCUAUUAGACGUAUAUAUGUAGACGUUUAAUAGCCGUCUAUUUGAUGACUAGUCUAUUUCUUGGGCUAUGAUAGACGUCUACUAGAUUUUCACUGACAGCCCAAAAUUAGCCUUGUUUUAGCCUAGACGUCAGGGGGGUGUUUAGACGGCUACUAGACGUCUAUUAGCCGCAAAAUUGCUUGCUG